UACGUAGGGUGCGAGCGUUGUCCGGAAUUACUGGGCGUAAAGAGCUCGUAGGUGGUUUGUCGCGUUGUUCGUGAAAACCGGGGGCUUAACCCUCGGCGUGCGGGCGAGUACGGGCAGACUUGAGUACUGCAGGGGAGACUGGAAUUCCUGGUGUAGCGGUGGAAUGCGCAGAUAUCAGGAGGAACACCGGUGGCGAAGGCGGGUCUCUGGGCAGUAACUGACGCUGAGGAGCGAAAGCGUGGGGAGCGAACAGG
rnacentral:rRNA from 1 species